UCUUUACCACAGAGAUAAAUGGACAAAUGCUAUCCACCUUCGGUCAGCCUUCCUCAUUCACGGUGAGCUAGCUGCGGAUUGCUGCCUCUACGUAUGGCGUCCCGGAUGUUUCCCAUGGGACCACUUGCUGUCUGCCGACAAUAAGCAUAUCUCCAUGAACGUUGAUGUCAGACAGAGAGCAAUGCUGCAAUGCGAACUGCUGAAUUUUGGAUUCACAAUUGCAACCUGAGUUCGGAUAUCAUUCUCUUUUUUAUGCUCGCAUGAUGUCACCAGUGAAAAUGUCAAUAUUCUCAUCUCGAGAGAAUACUGCAUUUAUGUAGCAUUUUCACAGUUUUAGCCCUGUAAUGUAUAUCUUUGACACUUGUCAGUUUCAAAGAAACGAGCCAUUUUGUUUUACUGGAUUUCACACGUUCAAGUUACGGACUUAACAAGUAUGUUAAGAUUCAUUGAAUGAUAAUUCUCAUAACAAGUCGCUUAUUGCUUACUUGAACGACUUACUCGUUUGGAGCCUAUAAACAUCGUCACCAACCGUUUGUCAACAUCAUGCUAAUUUGUAUGUGAAACUGAAACUAUUUAUUCGUUAGAUUCGGCAAGCACAAUAGCAACCAACCAACAGACCUCUGAGGUAGAGUAUAUUAAGAGUUGGGGCAAUCAAUUACCCCGACCCUGCUGGUGGCUAAUACGUCUGCAAGCUGACAGGGCCGCUAUUUAUGUGACCACGCUGCAAUAGAUAAGGCCAAGAGAAGCUUAUCUGGCAAUACAACGCAGGAACUAAUCACGUUUAUUACUUGAUCUCAGUUGCCAUUCGAUGGAGAACUUUGAAUGAUGGAAUGACUACUAAACAGAGGGAGUACACACCGAUAUCACACCACUGGCUACAUGUAACAUAAAGUUAGCGAUGAUUAGUUAUUUGUGUGCUGGAACGCAUGUACUAGCAAUAAUUUUAAUUUUACAAAUAGAAUUGUUAUCGGUUAUAUUGUUUGCUGUAUAUGUGGCGGAUCAUUUUUUCGAGGGCGUAAAAUAACUCAUUUUGUCAAUCUAGCUAUGUACUGAAGUUUUAUACACCGUGCGAUAUGCUUAUGGUUUGCGCUCUGUGUGUCAGUCAGUAUGUCUGUCUGUCCGUCACACUUUUCUGGAUC